GGUUUCUUGGAAGGUCUGGUCUGCCCGGCAAUCUUUUCUCUUCCUGAACUCUCCUUGUGCUCAGAAUGGCUCCCCGACCACUUACAAAGUGGGUCCUGUGCGAACCAUUUUAUGUUCAUUGUCCUUUCUAGGGACUUGGCUCCAUGGAGUUCUUCAAAAGAGGAAUUAAAGACUCAGGGACCGUGCCAUUCGCUGUGCUUCUCAAAUCAUCAUCAGCUGCUUUUGAGGAUGAACAACAGAGCCCCAGGAGCUGCUCCCAUAAAUGACUUCCAAUACAUUGCGGAGAGAGACUAUUAUUCAGAUGCCUGCUAUUACACGGCCUGCACUCGGCCGUUCCACACCGCGCCUCUCCUGACUCGCUUUCAGAGAUCCACUGUCGUCAGCAAAGGGAGAGUGGGCCUGGAGCUUCCGGGAAAGUGCUCUGAGUUGGUGAAAGCUCCCGGAAUGGCAGGCAUUCACAGUUGCAAGUUGCCACCUGGAACCAAUCCACUGAAAGAACCUACAGAAUGGGAGGUGAAGCCAAGGGUAACUGAAGAGACUGGCCUUUUCUCCCUCUAUUAUUAACUGCAAAUCAUUCUUGUCAUGUUAGAAAGCAGAUUGUUUCUUCAAGUGUUAUUCACCAUUAUGCUCUGGAUCACAUCUCUUGACCUUCUUGCGGGGAACUUAAAGUCCAUUUCCAAUUAACAUGUGCUCAUUGCGGAGCUGUGGUUUAUCUGUAUAUGGAAGUCUUUGUUAUUUUAUCACUCGGUAGAGGAAUUAUAUUUUCCAUUUCUCCCCACUAAAUGUCACACUCUGGCCAAACUUUCCGAUUUAUUUUUGUUGCUGCUUUAUUUCGUCUGACAACAGAAAAGAAUGAAAAGGCCAAUUUGCAGGCUUUCAAUUUCUGCUCUUAGUGAGCUGAAAAAUUAGUCACACAACCGAGGGGCAAACAGAGAAAAGGAUUGUUUUUUUAAUGUAAUAAAAAAACUAUUACUUUAAUGCAACUGCUCCAUUUCAAGCUUAACUAAAGCCACCACUUUGGUAGAGACGUACACUGUAAAAUUCUCUCAGCCUCUGGGUUUUAAAAUAAAAUACCUAAUUUUAUACUAUGCAUGGAGGUUUUAUCCCCG
rnacentral:lncRNA from 1 species